AUGCCUGAGGAAACUCGGACCCAAGACCAACCCAUAGAGGAGGAAGAGGUUAAGACAUUAGCCUUUCAGGCAAAAAUUGGCUAGCUGAUGUCACUGAUCAUCAAUACUUUCUACUCAAAGAGAUUUUUCUGAGAGAGCUCAUUUCAAAUUCAUUAGAUGCUUUGGACAAAAUCAGACACAAAAGCUUGACAGAUCCCAGUAAACUAGACUCUGGGAAAGAGCUGCACAUUAAUCUUGUACGAAACAAACAAGAUCUAACCGUUACUAUUGUGGAUACUGGGACUGGAAUGACCAAGGCCAACUUGAUCAAUAACCUUGGUACUAUCGCCAAGUCUGGAACCAAAGUGUUCAUGGAAGCUUUGCAGGCUGGUACAGACAUAUCUAUGAUUGGCCAGUUUGGCAUUGGUUUUUAUUCUGUGUAUUUGGUUGCCGAGAAAGUAACUGUGAUCACCAAACAUAACGAUGAUGAGCAGCAUGCCUGGGAGUCCUCAGAAGCAGGAUUAUUUACAGUUAGAAGUGACACAGGUGAACCUAUGGGUUGUGGAACAAAAGUUAUCCUCCAUUCGAAAGAAGACCAAACUGAGUAUUUGGAGGAAAGAAGAAUAAAGGAGAUUGUGAAGAAACAUUCUCAGUUUAUUGGUUAUCCCAUUACUCUGUUUGUGGAGAAGGCACGUGAGAAAGAAGUCAGUGAUGAUCAGACUGAAGAAAAGGAAGACAAGGAGGAGGAGAAAGAAAAAGAAGAAAAGGAAUCUGGAAUCUGAUGACAAGCUCGAAAUAGAAGAUGUUGGUUCCAAUGAAGAAAAAGAAGAAAAGAAAAAUGGUGAGAAGAAGAAGAAGAUAAAUGAAAAGUACAUUGAUCAAGAAAAGCUCAACAAAACAAAGCCUAUGUGGACCAGAAAUCCUGAUGAUAUUACUAAUGAAGAGUAUAGAGAAUUCUAUAAGAGGUUGAUCAACGACUGGGAAGAUCAUUUGGUGGUGAAGCACUUUUCCAUUGAAGGACAGUUGGAAUUCAGAGUUCUUCUUUUUGUCCCAAGACGUGCUCCUUUCAACCUAUUCGAAAACAGAAAAAAAAAAAACAACAACACUAAGUUGUAUGUACGCAGAGUUUGCAUCAUGGAUAACUGUGAGGAGCUAAUCCCUGAAUACUUGAAUUUCAUUAGAGGAGUGGUGGACUCUGAGCAUCUCCCUCUAAAUAUUUCCCGUGAGAUGUUGCAGCAAAGCAAAAUUUUGAAAGUUAUCAGAAAAAAUUUGGUUAAAAAGUGCUUAGAGCUCUUCAACGAAUUGGCAGAAGAUAAAGAGAACUACGAAAAGUUUUAUGGGCUAUUCUCUAAAAACAUAAAGCUUGGAAUACAUGAAGACUCUCAAAACCAGAAGAGGCUUUCAGAGCUAUUACGAUACUACACAUCUGCUUCUGGUGAUGAGAUGGUUUGUCUCAAGGACUACUGCACCAGAAUGAAGGAAAACCAGGAAAAGAAGAAACAUAUCUGCUGUAUCAGGUGAGACCAAGGACCAGGUAGCUAACUCAGCCUUCAUGGAACAUCUUUGGAAGCAUGGCUUAGGAGUGAUCUAUAUGACUGAGCCAAUUGAUGAGUACUGUGUCCAACAGCUGAAGGAAUUUGAGGGGAAAACUUCAGUGUCAGUCACCAAAGAAGGAUUAGAACUUCCAGAAGAUGAAGAAGAGAAAAAGAAACAGGAAGAUAAAAAACAAAGGUCAAAAACAUCUGCAAAAUCAUGAAAGACAUCUUAGAGAAAAAUGUUGAAAAGGUAAUUGUGUCAAACCUAUUGGUGACAUCUGCAUGCUGCACUGUCACAAGCACAUAUGUCUGGACAGCACACAUGGAAAGAAUUAUGAAAGCUCAAGCCCUAAGAGACAACUCGACAAUGGGUUACAUGGCAGGGAAGAAACACCUGGAAAUAAACCCUGACCAUUCCAUUAUCCAGACCUUAAGGCAGAAGGCAGAGGCUGACAAGAAUGACAAGUCUGUGAAGGAUCUGUCAUCUUGCUUUAUGAAACUGCACUCCUGUCUUCUGGCUUCAGUCUGGAAGAUCUUUAGACACAUGCUAACAGGAUCUAUGGAUGACCCAACUUGAUCUGGGUCUUGAUGAGGAUGACUCUACUGCUGAAGAUUCCAGUGCUGCUGUGACAGAGGAGAUGGCACCUCUUGAAUGAGAUGGUGACACGUCAUGCAUGGAGGAAGCAGACUAA